UAAAGGUGCAUGAGUGGUGUUUGGUUUGAUACGGGUGGUCGGCUCCCUGCUUGAGCAGGCACGGCCACRCGUGCAUUCCUUUUCAGUUGUCCGGCAAGACUUGUAUUGUCUUGAUCGUAUAAGUGGGUUUCUUGUGUUGCAUACCUGAUCAAUGGCAUCGUUUUGAUCAAAAGUGUAUCUUUUUCGUCUGGCAAUGCACCCGCAUUGUCGGAUGAACCGGGCAGCAUCCUCUUUGAUCCAUAAAGUUGACGUGCAUUCGUUGAUUGUUUGGCCCGUUGAGGAUGGCUUGGUCUCUUGGAUAUGGAAGCCAAAGUGGGCAUGGGUUCGUAAGAUCCCUUUACUGCCCUYAUUGAGCGUUCUCGCUUCUCUUAUACGACUGCCUUUCACGUAUGGCACGUCCCAGCGUGUUG
rnacentral:misc_RNA from 1 species